rnacentral:rRNA from 1 species
UAGUGGCGAACGGGUGAGUAACACGUGAGUAACCUGCCCCUCACUUCGGGAUAACUCCGGGAAACCGGGGCUAAUACCGGAUAUGAGCUCCUUCCGCAUGGUUGGGGUUGGAAAGAUUUAUCGGUGGGGGAUGGGCUCGCGGCCUAUCAGCUUGUUGGUGGGGUGAUGGCCUACCAAGGCUUCGACGGGUAGCCGGCCUGAGAGGGCGACCGGCCACAUUGGGACUGAGAUACGGCCCAGACUCCUACGGGAGGCAGCAGUGGGGAAUAUUGCACAAUGGGCGAAAGCCUGAUGCAGCGACGCCGCGUGAGGGAUGGAGGCCUUCGGGUUGUAAACCUCUUUCAGCAGGGAAGAAGCGCAAGUGACGGUACCUGCAGAAGAAGCGCCGGCUAACUACGUGCCAGCAGCCGCGGUAAUACGUAGGGCGCAAGCGUUGUCCGGAAUUAUUGGGCGUAAAGAGCUCGUAGGUGGUCUGUCGCGUCUGGUGUGAAAUCCCGAGGCUCAACCUCGGGCUUGCAUCGGGUACGGGCAGACUAGAGUGCGGUAGGGGAGACUGGAAUUCCUGGUGUAGCGGUGGAAUGCGCAGAUAUCAGGAGGAACACCGAUGGCGAAGGCAGGUCUCUGGGCCGCAACUGACGCUGAGGAGCGAAAGCAUGGGGAGCGAACAGGAUUAGAU